rnacentral:rRNA from 1 species
GAUGAACGCUGGCGGCGUGCCUAAUACAUGCAAGUCGAGCGAACGGACGAGAAGCUUGCUUCUCUGAUGUUAGCGGCGGACGGGUGAGUAACACGUGGAUAACCUACCUAUAAGACUGGGAUAACUUCGGGAAACCGUAGCUAAUACCGGAUAAUAUUUUGAACCGCAUGGUUCAAAAGUGAAAGACGGUCUUGCUGUCACUUAUAGAUGGAUCCGCGCUGCAUUAGCUAGUUGGUAAGGUAACGGCUUACCAAGGCAACGAUGCAUAGCCGACCUGAGAGGGUGAUAGGCCACACUGGAACUGAGACACGGUCCAGACGCCUACGGGAGGCAGAAGUAGGGAAUCUUCCGCAAUGGGCGAAAGCCUGACGGAGCAACGCCGCGUGAGUGAUGAAGGUCUUCGGAUCGUAAAACUCUGUUAUUAGGGAAGAACAUAUGUGUAAGUAACUGUGCACAUCUUGACGGUACCUAAUCAGAAAGCCACGGCUAACUACGU